rnacentral:tRNA from 1 species
AGGUGGAUUACUUUAAGUAUAGAAGGUUAAGUUUGCAACUUACAUAGUGUGAUUUUCAUGUUCACUUG